AAUCAACGCUGGCGGCGUGCCUCAGACAUGCAAGUCGAACGCGAAAUUUCCCUUCGGGGAGAAAGUAGAGUGGCGCACGGGUGAGUAACACGUAGGUAAUUUGCCUUUGGGUGGGGAAUAACUCAGGGAAACUUGAGCUAAUACCGCAUAAUGCAGCGGCUCGACAUCGAGACAGUUGUUAAAGCGGGGGAUUGGAGCAAUCCGACCUCGCGCCUAAAGAGAAGCCUGCGGCAGAUUAGCUAGUUGGUAAGGUAAUGGCUUACCAAGGCGACGAUCUGUAACCGGCCUGAGAGGGCGGUCGGUCACACUGACACUGACAUACGGGUCAGACUCCUACGGAGGCAGCAGUCGGGAAUUUU
rnacentral:rRNA from 1 species